GAUGAAGAACGCAGCGAAAUGCGAUAAGUAAUGUGAAUUGCAGAAUUCAGUGAAUCAUCGAAUCUUUGAACGCACAUUGCGCCCGCUAGUAUUCUGGCGGGCAUGCCUGUCCGAGCGUCAUUUCAACCCUCAAGCCCCCGGGCUUGGUGUUGGGGAUCGGCGGGCCUCCGCGCCCGCCGUCCCCUAAAUCUAGUGGCGGUCUCGCUGUAGCUUCCUCUGCGUAGUAGCACACCUCGCACUGGGAAACAGCGCGGCCACGCCGUUAAACCCCCAACUUCUGAACGUUUGACCUCGGAUCAGGUAGGAAUACCCGCUGAACUUAAGCAUAUCAAUAAGCGGAGGA
rnacentral:misc_RNA from 1 species